ACAUGGUUGGCACCAAUGGACGCCCAUUCUAGCUUUAAAACUGAGCCCACUAUAGCCUCUAAAAGACAGCAGGUCUCACAGGGUUAACAUGGAUUUCAAGUGCACCUAAGCAGUGCUUAAGAGUGCUGGACAUGCCCCAUAUAAAUUCAUAUUGCAAAGUUACGAGAUUACAGCGGCAACCUUCUGCUGACAAGCGUGCUUCUCUAACUUUUCUUCCAUCCGUCACCCCCAGUGAUCCCCUGAAGGAGUACAGGCUGGCUGUUACCUGGCCGGUGAUGGAUGUUGUCUAGGGAGCCACACUUGGAGGUCACAUGGCUCAGGUCAAUCUUCUUGUUCUGUAUCAUCACCUAGAAAAAGCAAAGUCAUGAAAAGACAAGAGCCUGAGAGGAAAGAAAACGAACAGGGAAAGUGAAGCGACGAUGACAGCACAGGUCAGCACAGGUCAUGAGCCACGUUACAAACCACAACCACAGAGUACACUAUGCACCAAAGCCUCUUCAUCUACCAGGAGUCCCUCACACAUGCACAACACCAGCAAAGAUAUGCAGCAUGAGUUUAAAGACAGGGAUGAGAUGUGGUUUGUGUCGGCGUGGGUGAACAUGUGAACAUCAGACUGCAGGUUGGCUCGUCUCUCCAGCGAUCGUAUCUUUAUGAUUAACUGUACUGUUGGAAUCUUUAACAUUACACACUACAUUUGAUUUUUAUUUUGAGUUAUUCAAAAGAGAAUCGAUGAAGCCGACCAGAACAUGUUGACAUGCUUUAAUGUAAAAAAAGAAAGCUUUAUUUUUUCCCAUACCGACUGUGCUGCAGCCCAGUUUGCUCUGAUUGGUCAGCUGGCAAUCUGUUGUGAUUGGUCAACUGAACCAAACUCUUUGGACUCCUUUGAACACUUUUGUUACAGCAAAACUGGGAACAAAGCAAUUGGUGUUUUUUUAAGUGACAAUAUUCCACAAACACUUGUGACUUGUUAAAAUGAUUAACUUUUAUCUUUGGUUACACCACUAUGAAAUUUAACCAACACAGUUUAAUAAACAGCCAUGAAUUUGCCGUGUCACAUGAUAUUGUUCAUCUCAGUCACAGAUAAACCUUAAUUGCAGUUAAAAAUAUAAUAUGCCACUGGCAUCACUUCUUUUUUCUUCUUUUAAACCUCUUGGAGGGAAGAUGAUACAUGUCACUGUUGCCCCGGUAACCUGGAGAUGCAAAUUAAAAGAGGUUUGAUGAGAA